AAAAAAAAUCCCCACCACCUCUCUUUCCUGAUUCACAUCUCUCACCCGUGCUGCAUGUCAACGAUAACAAUGCUGCCGCCACCAUCUCCGAUAACGCGCGGCUACACUUUCACCGCCCCUCGCUGGCCCAGAUUCCCCUCGCCGGACCAGCUUCCUCUCCUCCAGCGCGACGUCCUUCGCGCCCUUGCACGCACCCCCACGGCAAUCCUAGGUGCCACGGGUCGUCGGCGCUCCUGCGCCUCCGGUUUGUCGGUCCACUAACCCCGCGUCUUCGAAUGCGCGGCUGCGGGCUGGCGCUCCACGACACUACUCCGCCUCAGCGACCUCUACUCCGACGUCUAUGGUUCAGUAGGCUGCCAUGGUUGCCUACAGCUUACUCGACAACUCACCAAGACUCAUCUCCCCCAAGAAGGUUUACAGAAAAUAUCAAAGAUUCAAAGAUACAAAGCGCCUAGUCCCCUUUGAACCUCUGCGGCUCUGCCUAGCGCAUAUCCCCUGCAUUGUUUCCCUAUUGUCUUGUGCCAUCCCCAGUUCUAGGCGUCCAUCAUCAAUGAUCUCCCCUCACUAGAUAAGAAUUUCGAUUAGUAAUCAACAAUGCAGGGGCAGGGGUGGUGUCUCCUCAAUGGGCCAAAAAAUCGAAGGUUUGAUGGCAGCUCGCUGACACACAGUGGCAGUGCAGCGACUCUCAGAUGCACAAGGGCGUCGCAGCGACUCCCAGACGUACAGUGGUUGUGCGGCCACCCCAGAUGCAUAAUGGCGGCGCGGCGACUCCCAGAUGCAGAGCAGCAGAACGGCGGCUCUAUAGUGAUGAAUCUCGGGUUAUAGAAACUGGAUUGUUCCAGGCAGUGGCGACGCUACAUAACGACUACAAUGUCAAAUGACCACACAAGGAUGCUGCUAAUGCGACACUACGAUCAGAGACCCUUCGAGAAACUGUGUGCGAUGCAAUAAUAGCAAUCGUUAUUGUAUGAAAACCGUCAAAAAUGUAUAAAACGUUUGCGAUGACA